GGGAAGUCUAGGCCAGCCUGCUGCUGGUCUGGGGCCUGUACUAUCUCCAUCACUUGAUGCUGAGGGAGCAGUCACCCAGAACCUGGGCAAGGCUGUGUGGAUAAAGCAGCAAGGCUGGCUUUUUUUUUUUUGGUUUUUUGAGACAAGUUCUACGUCAUGGUCCAAUAUGGCUGUUGGAGUUCCUGCCAUUGCACCUGAGCCCCAGUAUUAUAUCCAGAAGAAGAAGAAGCGUAAAAGACAAAGCCCUAAUGCUAGUCAGUUAUCUUAUAAGUGCUUUCCAGAAAGUCCUACUCCAUGACUAAGUCCUUGUCAGUCUCUUCUACAUGCAGAGAAGUCCAGACAAUUCAGUUUUUUAACCAGGGCAUGUUGAAAAAUAAUUUGAGGGUUGUGAUGUGUUCCCGAGGAGGAAAGGGAGAGCAGAUGCUGGUUCCACUGUUCCCUGUGGGAAGGCCUUGUCUCCAGCACCUCACUGGGCAUGGCCAAGCAGCCCGGAGUCCCUCCUGUCAGAGCUGAGGCUGCCUCUUCACUCCCGAGCUCUCCCCUGCUUCUGUGCGCUCAGAUGCUCACUAGAACUGUUAAGAGACCCCAGAAGCUGUGCAGCAGCGUAGAAGUGCUAACACGUGCGCUGAGAGCCCGGAGCACAGCAGAGGAAGAUGGUGGUUACCGUGACUCGGGGACGUCUCCCCACUGCUCGGGGUGGUCAGCGGCCCUGCACCCCUCAUCCUCGUCCUGCAUAGCCUGGCAGCUCCCUGGCAGCGGCUUGGUGUCCUGGGACCGUGGCACCAUGGGCCACAGCUGUAACUCCCCGCCCAGCCUGUGGCUUCCUUGGGCCGCCCUGAGCUUACCCGGAAGAGUAAGAGGCUGAAGCCAUCUUCCUCCCAGAGAGCCCUAAUGCAAUGUAACUCAGUUCUUUGUUUUAAAUUUGCAAAAAAUAAAGUGCAACUGGAAUGCACAUAACCUUUACUUAGCUUCAGCAGCCAUGGGACUGCCACGUUACCUCAUCUAUCUCUGCCCACCUUUAUUUUUUGUUAUCAUAGAGCAAACCUCUGACGGUGUAUCUGUGGCUUCCGGCUUCAUCUGUGCCCUUCUCAAAAACCAAGCAGCCGUUUCUUACACAGUCUAGUCAGGAGACAGCGAUCACACUUACAGAAUGAGAAGUCCCUCACUGUCAUUAAACCAAGAUAUUUCCAGCUGCUAAAAAAAAAAAAAAAGCAAAAGAAAUCUCUGCUUUCAAAUGUUAUGUGAAUGAAUUCCCGCUCAAAUCUAUCUGCAGCCAGGCAGUCUGACUGCAGAGCGAGUGCUCUAUUCAGAGAGGGGACAGUUUAGUGUGUGUUGGGGGGUGGACGUGAAGGGAGACUGUUGGAUUCCCCAGGAGGGAUGGGCAGUCACGCUGGAUCUACUCUCGCUGAUGCUUGGGUCAUCCAGGCAGAGCACCGUGGGCCCUGAUGUGGAAGGGUCUCCUUUACAGGCUACAAGGAAAGGGUUGAGGAUGGUAAUGUUCAAGUGAAAUAAAGUUCUACCAGCUGUACCUUCUAGGUCUUGGGUGCAUCAGGG
ensembl:lincRNA